GAAGAAUUCCCGUAGUAGGCUCUUUUUUGAUAGUCACGAAACUGAAAACAGGUUGCGGUAAGGAGAGAAAACUAUGCAACUGAAAACAUGCUAAAGGUGAAGCACACAGCUCCACUAUGCUAGGCCCUGGGGACUUCAGCAAGCUCAUCAAGUUUGUACCAAAAUAAAGCCAAUAUGAAGAAAAUUGAGUACAGCAUGUAAACUAUGACAAGGCUAUUUGCAUCUGGUAAGACAACCAGUGCAGGAAUCAGCGAGCCCUUGCGAUGUGGGAGAUCAACCAGCAUUAGUUUACCAACUAAUUCUUGGUGUCUGCCUCUAUAUGUAGCACGUCUUGGUG